CCCCUCCCCUUCUAAAAUUUUCAGAGAGGCUCCCUUGUGAGGCAUCGGAUCUCAACUUUUUUUUCCAACGGAAAGACCCCUGUUGUGAUACAUCGUUCGAAAAAGCAUAAGAAAAAACUGCUUGCUCCAGUCCAAUGUCAAUAUCUUAUUCUGCUCCAAAAUGCAGCCGAUUAAAGUUCCAGAUGGCUGAAAAUUGACACCGGUUUUUUGUCGAUGAUUUGCGAAAAUCGAUAAUUAGAGGUAUUUUGAUAGAACAAAAAAAAUUGAACGUUCCUUUUUUUAAAAAAAGAAUGAAAAUGUCAAAAUGGCGGCCGCUUUAAAUAGAAAAGGCCGACAAUUGGCAGGUUGGUUUUUUGCGAAGAGAUUUGCCUGAAACUUGGUAUUUUUUAAAAAUGUACCCAUAAUUCGUGGUUCUCAUCUCAAAUGCCCCCCCCCCCCCACCUAAGUCUAAGGCAAAUUCAUCGAUGAAAAACCAAGAUGUCAUUUUGCAGCAAUUUUGAAUUUUAACGGGCCGCCAUCCUGAACGGUUCAAGAUAGGUACAGACUUCGAUUUUGCCCGAAAAAUGUUUGUUGUUUAUGCUCUUCCGAACGACGUAUCACAAGAGGGAUUUUCCGUUACAAAAAAGGUGGGUUCCAUUGCCCUCUUGAGGAGCGCGCUCUAACAUUUUAGAGGGACAAAAAGUAGCUCCCUUUGACGCAAGAACAUCCUCCAAGCUUCAAACCUUUACCUCAAUUGAGUUAAAAGUGAGAGGAGAUAAAAGGGAUUUUUUUGAUCACAGGGUGUAUGCACAUUAAGUAAUCCAGCUGUUUGGUAUCAAAAUAGUCUGCGACGUUAGAUGCACUCUUGAUGUCAUUAAGAUAUUUUUAACAGUUUAGUAAUUUGCAAAUACAUUUAACAAACACUUUAUUUUUUUUCUUAUUACAGGUUGGGGAUCACAUAGAAGAAUUAAUAAAGAGUCUUUAGUUGGUAGAAGGCAUUUUGAAGUCGCAAAAUAUCUUAAAGAAUUCCUAAAGAUUCUACAUUUACCAUACGACUUGUUGAACCACUUAAAGCAGGGUUUUCAAAUAUUGAGCCACGGGGGAACCCUCGGAAAGGUAAAAAAUCAAACUAUGGCAGUGGUAAAGAAACAUUAAGAUUCAAGCAAAUGGAAGGCGUUAAUUGAAGAGGAGGGGACGUACAAGGACCAUACUUGGUACUGGGAAAAAUAUUGAUUAACUCAAUAUUUUUCCCACGGAAUUUUUCCCUGGGACAAAUCCCGUGAAGCGGCUCGUGGGGACAAGGCCCCAGAAUGAAGCAACAAAAAACAAUUCUGUGACCAGCGCAAUAACUGACCCAUUAUCGUCCAUAGGAGUCAAAGGUCCUAAAUAGGUAGGUACAUCUCGUUGUUUACUGUUGAGAUAAAUCAUUUUAACGACAGAUUGAGGAUCAUUACCUUCUUUAUUUCGCAAACUAAACCGGUACAAAUUACAGAACACGAACAUCCGAUGCCAGUUCCUGGCUAACCAAGACGACGAGACUUACACACACAUACAAGCUUGAGAGGUAUAAACGAGUGUUGGGUCUCUAGCGUAUACAUCAACAUAAUCAACAGUUACACAUCUCAUUCAUUGUUUUUGGUUUUUGUUUUCUUACAGGCUGAUGGAGAGAAACAGGCUGGCAUAGAGAAAUUAACCUCUGCUUUGAAAGUUUUCUAGGUAUAAGCGACAAUGAGCUUGGUAAGAUUUC
rnacentral:lncRNA from 1 species